UGGGUCUACACCCAGGCUCUCUCAGUACCGUCUCUCCAAGCGCGAGCAACAGCAGCUGGAAGGUGGGACAGAUGCAGAUUCUAGGUUUCUACCUAAAAUCUCCUGAGCCAGAACUGUGGAGGAGGGGAAGUGAUCAGAAGUCAAAGUGAUGAAGGAAGGCAGCUAGCCAUGCUUCAGAUUCUUCUGAUGGCCCUCAAGUCUGAGAAAGAGCCUCAAGCCCAAGAGAAACUCUGUCGAUGCAGUAAUACUGAAAAGGACUCUCAGUGAACAAGCCCUACGUGUCUUGUUAGAGCUGGUUCUGGAAACAGAAAGAUGAACCCAGACUCCGGUGCCAUCUAGUGGUCAUGUUAGUUCCUCUAGAAAUAAAC
rnacentral:lncRNA from 1 species